rnacentral:rRNA from 1 species
AGAGUUUGAUCCUGGCUCAGAAUCAACGCUGGCGGCGUGCCUCAGACAUGCAAGUCGAACGAUUAAAGCUCUCUUCGGAGAGUGCAUAGAGUGGCGCACGGGUGAGUAACACGUAAGUAAUCUACCCUCGAGUGGGGAAUAACGUUCGGAAACGGACGCUAAUACCGCAUAAUGCAGCGGCACCGCAAGGUGACAGUUGUUAAAGAUUUAUCGCUUGAGGAGGAGCUUGCGGCAGAUUAGCUAGUUGGUAAGGUAAUGGCUUACCAAGGCUACGAUCUGUAACCGGUCUUAGAGGACGGUCGGUCACACUGACACUGAAUAACGGGUCAGACUCCUACGGGAGGCAGCAGUCGGGAAUUUUGGGCAAUGGGCGAAAGCCUGACCCAGCAACGCCGCGUGAAGGAUGAAGUAUUUCGGUAUGUAAACUUCGAAAGAAUAGGAAGAAUCAAUGACGGUACUAUUUAUAAGGUCCGGCUAACUACGUGCCAGCAGCCGCGGUAUACGUAGGGACCAAGCGUUGUUCGGAUUUACUGGGCGUAAAGGGCGCGUAGGCGGCGCGGUAAGUCACUUGUGAAAUCUCUGAGCUUAACUCAGAACGGCCAAGUGAUACUGCAGUGCUAGAGUGUGGAAGGGGCAAUCGGAAUUCUUGGUGUAGCGGUGAAAUGCGUAGAUAUCAAGAGGAACACCUGAGGUGAAGACGGGUUGCUGGGCCAACACUGACGCUGAGGCGCGAAAGCC